AGAGUUUGAUCAUGGCUCAGAACGAACGCUGGCGGCGUGCUUAACACAUGCAAGUCGAGUGCGCGCCUGUAGCAAUACAGGUGGCGCACGGCGCACGGGUGCGUAACACGUGGGCAAUCUGCCCUCUGAUGGGGAAUAACCCGCCGAAAGGCGGGCUAAUACCGCAUAAAAUUCCUUGGACUCAUGUUCGAGGACUCAAAGGCGUAAGUCGUCGGAGGAGGAGCCCGUGCACGAUUAGCUAGUUGGUAGGGUAAUGGCCUACCAAGGCUUUGAUCGUUAGCUGGUCUGAGAGGAUGGCCAGCCACACUGGAACUGAGACACGGUCCAGACUCCUACGGGAGGCAGCAGUGGGGAAUCUUGCACAAUGGGCGAAAGCCUGAUGCAGCGACGCCGCGUGGGGGAUGAAGCAUUUCGGUGUGUAAACCCCUUUCGAUCCGGACGAAUACCUCGUAAGAGGGGUGACGGUACGGAUAUAAGAAGCCCCGGCUAACUACGUGCCAGCAGCCGCGGUAAGACGUAGGGGGCCAGCGUUGUUCGGAAUUACUGGGUGUAAAGGGUUCGUAGGCGGUGUGGCAAGUUGGGAGUGAAAUCUCUGGGCUCAACCCAGAGGCUGCUUCCAAAACUGCUGUGCUUGAGUGUGAGAGAGGCUCGUGGAAUUGCAGGUGUAGCGGUGAAAUGCGUAGAUAUCUGCAGGAACACCCGUGGCGAAAGCGGCGAGCUGGAUCACUACUGACGCUGAGGAACGAAAGCUAGGGGAGCAAACAGGAUUAGAUACCCUAGUAGUCC
rnacentral:rRNA from 1 species